rnacentral:lncRNA from 1 species
CGAAAAAUGAAAAAUCCCAAACUUUGGAGGUCGAUAUCUCGGCUUCUAUAGGCACUAUCUGGAAAAUUCCAACGGUUUUGUCUUAGUUUCGUCCUUCUGAAUCCAACGAGACCAUCCACAAGUUCGUAGGUCUCAUAUUAGCUGAGAUCUCGCAUUUUUAGGGCCCAUUUUUGGGCUCAAAAACGGGGUCAAAAAUUGACUUUUUUCCGAAUUUUCAAAGUGCUAUAAUUCCACUUGUUUCGGUCGAAUUCCGUUAUAACCCGGUGUUUUCGUGAUGUAGGUGAUGGGAAUAAGCCACUGAUAGGGGUUUCUAUAGCUAUUUUCGGGUUUAAAGAAAAUCGAUUUUUCGCAUUUUCAAAGUGCUAUAAUUCCCUUAGUUUUUCUCGAAACUCAUUAUAACCCGGUGUUUUCGUGUUGUAGGUGAUGGGAAAAAG